UGGGGAAUAUUGGACAAUGGGCGAAAGCCUGAUCCAGCAAUGCCGCGUGAGUGAUGAAGGCCCUAGGGUUGUAAAGCUCUUUUACCCGGGAUGAUAAUGACAGUACCGGGAGAAUAAGCUCCGGCUAACUUCGUGCCAGCAGCCGCGGUAAUACGGAGGGUGCAAGCGUUAUCCGGAUUCACUGGGUUUAAAGGGUGCGUAGGCGGGCAGGUAAGUCAGUGGUGAAAUCUCCGGGCUUAACCCGGAAACUGCCGUUGAUACUAUCUGUCUUGAAUGCCGUGGAGGUGAGCGGAAUAUGUCAUGUAGCGGUGAAAUGCUUAGAUAUGACAUAGAACACCUAUUGCGAAGGCAGCUCGCUACACGGUUAUUGACGCUGAGGCACGAAAGCGUGGGGAUCAAACA
rnacentral:rRNA from 1 species